rnacentral:rRNA from 1 species
AGAAUGAACGCUGGCGGCAUGCCUAACACAUGCAAGUCGAACGAAGCCUUCGGGUUUAGUGGCGCACGGGUGCGUAACGCGUGGGAAUCUACCCCUUGGUUCGGAAUAACAGUUGGAAACGACUGCUAAUACCGGAUGAUGACGUAAGUCCAAAGAUUUAUCGCCGAGGGAUGAGCCCGCGUAGGAUUAGGUAGUUGGUGUGGUAAAGGCGCACCAAGCCGACGAUCCUUAGCUGGUCUGAGAGGAUGAUCAGCCACACUGGGACUGAGACACGGCCCAGACUCCUACGGGAGGCAGCAGUGGGGAAUAUUGGGCAAUGGACGAGAGUCUGACCCAGCCAUGCCGCGUGCAGGAUGAAGGCUUUCUGAGUCGUAAACUGCUUUUGACAGGGAAGAAUAAGGCUUACGUGUAGGCUGAUGACGGUACCUGCAGAAUAAGCACCGGCUAACUCCGUGCCAGCAGCCGC